AUGUCCAGGUUUGACUUCUACAAGAUUGCACAGGGGGAUCCUUCUCUACCUUCCCAUCAACUAUUGGCAGAAGAAAGGAUUGCCGUAACAAAGGCUGAAUCUGCCACGGAGACUGCACAGCUUACCAGAAUUAACCCACAAGAGCCUGUAUAUGGAUUAACAUUUCCCACUCUUCAUACCCCUACAGGAGCAAUGUGGCGAUAAUUGGGAAUUAUUGAGUGGCCUUGCCUACCUCAUUCUCCUCAAAAGUCAUCGACUCCAUGCCAUGGCUUUAUUGCUCAGUUAGUUACUAAAGGAAGAACACGAGUUUUUCAGAGAGUUGGGUCAUAGCCUAAUAUGAAUGUUGGCCCUUUUUCUACUCAAGAGCAGGAUUGGCUUUGGCAGUCUUCUAACACUUGGCCGAUAGCUUUUGCUAAUUUCCCUGGCCAAAUGGAAAGCCAUUACCUUCGUGAUAAAAUUAUUCAGUUUGCUCUUGUGACUACAUUUAUUUUCCCCAAAAUUGUAUGUGCUUAACCAAUAGUUGGAGCACUAACAAUAUUUACUGAUGGAUCGAGUUCAGGAAAAGCAGGUUUCUAUAGCCAUGUAUUAUACAGAGAUAAUACAGACGUCUUAUACUUCUGCACAACGAGCAGAACUUCAAGCUCACAUUUGUGCUUUAAUUCAUUUU
rnacentral:lncRNA from 1 species